GCCAGCGUGGUAUAGUGGUUUGAGCAUUGGAUUAUGACUCUGGAGACCAGGGUUCAAUUCCCAGCUUGGCC
rnacentral:tRNA from 1 species